UACGUAGGGUGCGAGCGUUGUCCGGAAUUAUUGGGCGUAAAGGGCUCGUAGGCGGUUUGUCGCGUCGGGAGUGAAAACCUACAGCUUAACUGUGGGCUUGCUUUCGAUACGGGCAGACUAGAGGUAUGCAGGGGAGAACGGAAUUCCUGGUGCAGCGGUGAAAUGCGCAGAUAUCAGGAGGAACACCGGUGGCGAAGGCGGUUCUCUGGGCAUGAUCUGACGCUGAGGAGCGAAAGUGUGGGGAGCGAACAGG
rnacentral:rRNA from 1 species